rnacentral:rRNA from 1 species
GACGAACCGAGCGAACGUUGUUCGGAAUCACUGGGCUUAAAGGGCGCGUAGGCGGGCUGUCAAGUCUGGGGUGAAAUCCCGCGGCUCAACCGCGGAACUGCCUCAGAUACUGACGGUCUCGAGGGGGAUAGGGGCGAGCGGAACUGUGAGUGGAGCGGUGAAAUGCGUUGAUAUUCACAGGAACUCCGGUGGCGAAGGCGGCUCGCUGGAUCUCUUCUGACGCUGAGGCGCGAAAGCUAGGGGAGCAAACGGG